rnacentral:misc_RNA from 1 species
CACGUAGGGCGCAAGCGUUGUCCGGAAUUAUUGGGCGUAAAGAGCUCGUAGGUGGUCCGCUACGUCUGUUGUGAAAAUCCAGGGCUUAACCCUGGACUUGCUGCGGAUACGGGCGGACUAGAGGUAGGUAGGGGAGAAUGGAAUUCCCGGUGUAGCGGUGAAAUGCGCAGAUAUCGGGAGGAACACCGGUGGCGAAGGCGGUUCUCUGGGCCUUACCUGACACUGAGGAGCGAAAGCGUGGGGAGCGAACAGG